AGAGUUUGAUCCUGGCUCAGAUUGAACGCUGGCGGCAUGCCUUACACAUGCAAGUCGAACGGCAGCACGGGAGCAAUCCUGGUGGCGAGUGGCGAACGGGUGAGUAAUAUAUCGGAACGUGCCCAGUCGUGGGGGAUAACGUAGCGAAAGCUACGCUAAUACCGCAUACGAUCUAUGGAUGAAAGCGGGGGAUCGCAAGACCUCGCGCGAUUGGAGCGGCCGAUAUCAGAUUAGCUAGUUGGUGGGGUAAAGGCCCACCAAGGCGACGAUCUGUAGCUGGUCUGAGAGGACGACCAGCCACACUGGAACUGAGACACGGUCCAGACUCCUACGGGAGGCAGCAGUGGGGAAUUUUGGACAAUGGGCGCAAGCCUGAUCCAGCAAUGCCGCGUGCAGGACGAAGGCCUUCGGGUUGUAAACUGCUUUUGUACGGAACGAAAAGGUCUGCCCUAAUACGG
rnacentral:rRNA from 1 species